rnacentral:lncRNA from 1 species
CAACCGAAGCCAUUCUGUGAUUCCAUCCAGAAGUGGCUGCCCCUAUUCCUGCAGUAUGUGCCCAUGUGGCACCCAGCCACAGAGCUGGGAGCAGCCCAUGAGCUUGCUGUGCCUGCUGCCCAGCCUAAGCCAGAACACACUGCAGAGCAGGUGACAGCAAGUAUCUGCCAUGGGCAUCUGGGGCCCAGCGCCUCCAAGGACCAAUGUGUGUAGUUAGACAUGGAGGAACUGCACUGACUGAUGUUGUCCUGUAGAGUUUACCAAGUGUUUCUCCCAAGUUAGAUGCGAAGAACAAUAUGUAUGCUACACGGAUACAGGUAGGAUGGUGAAUUUGGCUCCCUGAUGACACGUGUGUGUCCACACCCACCCUAGGCUGCACACUGUCCUUGCUGUGCAUCUCCACACAGUGACCUCAGUUGGAAGAUGGUCCCAAAUCCUCAGGGUCGCUCAUUUCUUUGGGGAUUAUUUUGACUAUUGGACCAUGAAAUAAUUAAAUAAAUCACAGGUAUCCCUGCUGCUCUCUGGAGGAGGGUGGCUGUAUGUGCUCUGGAUUUUGCUGAAUAGUUUUCUGGCCACCACUCCCAGUCUGGAGAGCACUGGGAGUGGGAAAUGUUCAGCAGUUAUGUUCAGCAGUCAGCAUUUCUGCUGUUCUUUCUGCAAACUGUCAGGAGAGAACAUGGCAUUGAGCUGGUAGUUCAGACUUUUCUGCACUCUCUGAGCUCAGAGCCCUGUGAGCAAUUAAUGUGCAUUCCUCACGUAUGAGCACUGGCUUCUUGGCAUGAGAUCACCUUUUUCACUUCACAGUUCAUUUAGGUAUGCACUGGAUAAUCACUGCCUUUGAGAAAUGUGAAUUGUUAGGUGAUUUUUUUGGUGUGUAUUAAUUUUAAAAGUUCGGUGUUCACUUUGGUUCCCUCAGCCUAUCUGUUGGGGAUGGAUCAGAUUUUCUCAGCAUUUGGCAGAAUAUUUGCUUGCUCAACUUCAAGCAGGUCAGAAAUUUCAGCCAUGCCUCGCAAAGAAGUUAAGUACUCAGAAGCAUGUGCUUUAAAACACAGAGUCAAACUGCAGACCUGGUCCGCUGCUAAGACCCAAAGAGAGCACACAAGGGUAAGUGCAUGUUUGUGGCUUGAGAGGUCAAAUUGCUUGUAGUUUUAGAAUGACUUGGUUACUUAUUUCCCC